rnacentral:rRNA from 1 species
GACGAACGCUGGCGGCGUGCUUAACACAUGCGAGUCGAACGGAAAGGCCCCUUUGGGGGUACUCGAGUGGCGAACGGGUGAGUAACACGUGAGUAACCUGCCCUUGACUUCGGGAUAACUUCAGGAAACUGGGGCUAAUACCGGAUAGGAAUCCUUGCUGCAUGGUGGGGGUUGGAAAGCUUCGGCGGUUUUGGAUGGACUCGCGGCUUAUCAGCUUGUUGGCGGGGUAGUGGCUUACCAAGGCUUUGACGGGUAGCCGGCCUGAGAGGGCGACCGGCCACAUUGGGACUGAGAUACGGCCCAGACUCCUACGGGAGGCAGCAGUGGGGAAUAUUGCACAAUGGGCGGAAGCCUGAUGCAGCAACGCCGCGGGCGGGAUGACGGCCUUCGGGUUGUAAACCGCUUUCAGCAGGGGCGAAGCUUGUGGUGACGGUACCUGCAGAAGAAGCACCGGCUAACUACGUG